rnacentral:rRNA from 1 species
AUUGAACGCUGGCGGCAGGCUUAACACAUGCAAGUCGAACGAUGAAACUCUAGCUUGCUAGAGAAGAUUAGUGGCGGACGGGUGAGUAACAUUUAGGAAUCUGCCUAGUAGUGGGGGAUAGCUCGGGGAAACUCGAAUUAAUACCGCAUACGACCUACGGGUGAAAGGGGGCGCAAGCUCUUGCUAUUAGAUGAGCCUAAGUCAGAUUAGCUAGUUGGUGGGGUAAAGGCCUACCAAGGCGACGAUCUGUAACUGGUCUGAGAGGAUGAUCAGUCACACCGGAACUGAGACACGGUCCGGACUCCUACGGGAGGCAGCAGUGGGGAAUAUUGGACAAUGGGGGCAACCCUGAUCCAGCCAUGCCGCGUGUGUGAAGAAGGCCUUUUGGUUGUAAAGCACUUUAAGCAAGGAGGAGAGGCUAAUGGUUAAUACCCAUUAGAUUAGACGUUACCUGCAGAAUAAGCACCGGCUAACUCUGUGCCAGCAGCCGCGGUAAUACAGAGGGUGCGAGCGUUAAUCGGAAUUACUGGGCGUAAAGCGAGUGUAGGUGGCUCAUUAAGUCACAUGUGAAAUCCCCGGGCUUAACCUGGGAACUGCAUGUGAUACUGGUGGUGCUAGAAUAUGUGAGAGGGAAGUAGAAUUCCAGGUGUAGCGGUGAAAUGCGUAGAGAUCUGGAGGAAUACCGAUGGCGAAGGCAGCUUCCUGGCAUAAUAUUGACACUGAGAUUCGAAAGCGUGGGUAGCAAACAGGAUUAGAUACCCUGGUAGUCCACGCCGUAAACGAUGUCUACUAGCCGUUGGGGUCCUUGAGACUUUAGUGGCGCAGUUAACGCGAUAAGUAGACCGCCUGGGGAGUACGGCCGCAAGGUUAAAACUCAAAUGAAUUGACGGGGGCCCGCACAAGCGGUGGAGCAUGUGGUUUAAUUCGAUGCAACGCGAAGAACCUUACCUGGUCUUGACAUAGUGAGAAUCCUGCAGAGAUGCGGGAGUGCCUUCGGGAACUCACAUACAGGUGCUGCAUGGCUGUCGUCAGCUCGUGUCGUGAGAUGUUGGGUUAAGUCCCGCAACGAGCGCAACCCUUUUCCUUAUUUGCCAGCGGGUUAAGCCGGGAACUUUAAGGAUACUGCCAGUGACAAACUGGAGGAAGGCGGGGACGACGUCAAGUCAUCAUGGCCCUUACGACCAGGGCUACACACGUGCUACAAUGGUAGGUACAGAGGGUUGCUACACAGCGAUGUGAUGCUAAUCUCAAAAAGCCUAUCGUAGUCCGGAUUGGAGUCUGCAACUCGACUCCAUGAAGUCGGAAUCGCUAGUAAUCGCAGAUCAGAAUGCUGCGGUGAAUACGUUCCCGGGCCU